UACAUGUGCAGAACAUGUAGGUUUGUUACAUAGAUAUACACGUGUCUUGGUGGUUUGCUGCAUCCCUCCCCCUGUGAGGCAUUUUAAGGUCAAGGCGUUCAGCAUGGCCAGCACACAGUCCUUGGGAAACGUAACAGGAGGCUGGAGGUGUAAGCAUGGGUUCAGUCACAAGGUUAUCUAUAUCGUUGCUGUUACUCUUUAUGUUGCUGGUUGCCUUACUAAGUUUGAACUGAAUAUAAAACUGGUUUCCCAUUUUGGUUGCACAUUUGAAUCACCUGAAAGAGCUCUUAGAAAACACUAAUACCUAGUAACUAAAGCCAGGUAGUACAGAAAUUUAGAGGUGGAGCCUGUGCCUUGCUCUUGUUUAAAAGCCCUACAAGUGAUACAGAUUCACAGUAUGAUCAAGAGCCGCUUGUCUACAAGACAUUGCUGGGCAUUUUUAAAUAUUAAUAACAUUUAAUUUAUUGUUAUGUAUGUGAAUAACAUAUAUUGAAGUGUCUUGCGAUGUACUAUGACCAGUUUUUCUUUUUUCUUAUCCAAAUGCUUGUGGAUCACUUGGUUAGCUUAAGAACCUCCAAGAAAAGAUGAAAAUAGGAACUGUCCAUCCCUGGGAAACUACAGAGCAGCAUGUUCAAGUCCAACCCACUUUAGUUCCUGUCUUGCUCACCCCAAUACCCUCCUAACUUUUACUACCUCACAAUUCUGCCCCUUCAAUAGAACUUACAUUCUGCUGCCCAGAGAGUUUCUGUUCAAUGAACUCCCCAUUGUCAAUCAAAUAAUGUCAGACACUUCCUCGUUGUUGUCAACAAAUGAUGUCAGACACCUCACCAUAAAAUUCAAGCAUCUGCUAGUCUAGCCCAACUUCCUUCUCCAGCCUGUUCUUCCACAGUUGCCUCCAAUGUUCCCUAUACACCAGUUCUCCUAAACCAG